rnacentral:rRNA from 1 species
AUUGAACGCUGGCGGCAGGCUUAACACAUGCAAGUCGAGCGGGGUGAUGGUGCUUGCACUAUCACUUAGCGGCGGACGGGUGAGUAAUGCUUAGGAAUCUGCCUAUUAGUGGGGGACAACAUCUCGAAAGGGAUGCUAAUACCGCAUACGUCCUACGGGAGAAAGCAGGGGAUCACUUAUGACCUUGCGCUAAUAGAUGAGCCUAAGUCGGAUUAGCUAGUUGGUGGGGUAAAGGCCUACCAAGGCGACGAUCUGUAGCGGGUCUGAGAGGAUGAACAGGCACACUGGGACAGGGACACGGCCCAGACUCCUACGGGAGGCAGCAGUGGGGAAUAUUGGACAAUGGGGGGAACCCUGAUCCAGCCAUGCCGCGUGUGUGAAGAAGGCCUUAUGGUUGUAAAGCACUUUAAGCGAGGAGGAGGCUCUUUUGGUUAAUACCCAAGAUGAGUGGACGUUACUCGCAGAAUAAGCACCGGCUAACUCUGUGCCAGCCGCCGCCGUAA